rnacentral:pre_miRNA from 1 species
CAUCCCCGCCUACUCAAACCUCCACGUGGCUGCCACGUGGCGGCCGUGCGAGGGCCUCGGGGAGACGC